rnacentral:lncRNA from 1 species
CGCGUCCAAUCAGUGACAGAGGGAGGGGCAGCCUCGAUCUCGCACAAAGGAGACUAUAAAAGGAGCUGCGGUGAACCGGGCUCGUUCUUUUACGACGGAGCCUAAGAUAUUCUUUGUCUUGUCGGUACUAGAGUCACCGAAAGAGACAUCCUAUUAUAUGCACGUUCACAAGGACAAUGGCGCCAUUGUUCUUCGCGUCUUCAAAGCAGCUACAAGAAGAAACCAAGAUGGAGGGGAGCCCAAAGCAUCUGAGAGAAUUGAUAAAUGAAAGAAACAUGCUUAAAACAUGACCGUUUUAAAGGUGAAUGCUGACCAGUGAGAUGCCAGCCUGCGUGUGAAGAUCCUACAGCAGAAGUGCAUGGCCAGUGACACAAGAACUUGCGAGAGAUGCCAGUCCGCCUGUGAAGAUCCUGCAGCAGGAGUGCAUAGCCAGUGACACAAGACGUGCGAAUGAAAACUAGAUGUGACCAUCCAGAAAAAGCAUAGACAAAAAAAUGCAGUCUUAGUACUGGGAUGUUUGAGAUGGGGUCUAUCUACAUGUCUCUAGCUGUCCCUAUCAGGACAGCAUCUGGUGUGGCCUGCAGAGUUGAUUCCUGUACUUUUUUUUUUUUGUGGGCUGUAUGUAAAUGGAUUGUUUUGACAAUCCAUUCGACAGUGUUCUCUUCUGUGAAGGUCAUAGGUGAGCUGAUUGACAGACACAGCUGUACAGACUGAAUGCAAUCCUGACUAUAAAGCUGCAGUUCAUCAUUAUGAGCUAUUUCCUUAUUCUGGCAGUGAUUGAAAUAAAAUGGGGAGUAUUGAAAUAAAAAACAUUCAAUUGCAAAUA